UACGUAGGGGGCGAGCGUUGUCCGGAAUUACUGGGCGUAAAGGGUGCGUAGGCGGUUUGGUAAGUUGGAUGUGAAAUACCCGGGCUUAACUUGGGGGCUGCAUCCAAUACUGUCGGACUUGAGUGCAGGAGAGGAAAGCGGAAUUCCUAGUGUAGCGGUGAAAUGCGUAGAUAUUAGGAGGAACACCGGUGGCGAAGGCGGCUUUCUGGACUGUAACUGACGCUGAGGCACGAAAGCGUGGGGAGCAAACAGG
rnacentral:rRNA from 2 species